rnacentral:rRNA from 1 species
GACGAGCCACACAAACGUUAUUCGGAAUCACUGGGCUUAAAGGGUGCGUAGGCUGUGCAGAAAGUUGGGUGUGAAAUCCGACAGCUCAACUGUCGAAGUGCACUCAAUACUACUGUGCUAGAGGAAGACAGAGGUAAGCGGAACUGAGGGUGGAGCGGUGAAAUGCGUUGAUAUCCUCAGGAACACCGGUGGCGAAGGCGGCUUACUGGGUCUUUUCUGACGCUGAGGCACGAAAGCUAGGGGAGCGAACGGG